UCCGCUGUCGUCUAGUGGUUAGGAUAUGAGGCUUUCACCCUCACGACCGGGGUUCGAACCCCCGCAGCGGAA
rnacentral:tRNA from 1 species